rnacentral:rRNA from 1 species
AGAGUUUGAAUCCUGGCUCAGGAUGAACGCUAGCGGCAGGCUUAAUACAUGCAAGUCGUGGGGCAGCACAGGUAGCAAUACUGGGUGGCGACCGGCAAACGGGUGCGGAACACGUACGCAACCUUCCUUCAAGCGGGGGAUAGCCCAGGGAAACUUGGAUUAAUACCCCGUAACAUUAUGAGAUGGCAUCAUCUUAUAAUUAAAGCUACGGCGCUUGGAGAUGGGCGUGCGGCUGAUUAGGUAGUUGGCGGAGUAAUAGCCCACCAAGCCUUCGAUCAGUAACUGGUGUGAGAGCACGACCAGUCACACGGGCACUGAGACACGGGCCCGACUCCUACGGGAGGCAGCAGUAAGGAAUAUUGGUCAAUGGACGCAAGUCUGAACCAGCCAUGCCGCGUGGAGGAUGAAGGCCCUCUGGGUUGUAAACUUCUUUUAUCUGGGAAGAAACCACUCUUUUCUAAGGGUGUUGACGGUACCAGUUGAAUAAGCACCGGCUAACUCCGUGCCAGCAGCCGCGGUAAUACGGAGGGUGCAAGCGUUAUCCGGAUUCACUGGGUUUAAAGGGUGCGUAGGUGGGCAGGUAAGUCAGUGGUGAAAUCUCCGGGCUUAACCCGGAAACUGCCGUUGAUACUAUCUGUCUUGAAUAUCGUGGAGGUGAGCGGAAUAUGUCAUGUAGCGGCUGAAAUGCUUAGAUAUGACAUAGAACAUCAAUUGCGAAGGCAGCUCGCUACACGGUUAUUGACAC